AUACUUAACCUGGCAGGGGAGAUACCAUGAUCACGAAGGUGGUUUUCCCAGGGCGAGGCUUAUCCAUUGCACUCCGGAUGUGCUGACCCCUCUGAUUUCCCCAAUGUGGGAGACUUGACUGCAUAAUUUGUGGUAGUGGGGGACUACGUUCGCUUUCUCCCCUA
rnacentral:snRNA from 1 species